CCAGCUCGGCCUGCAGCCGGCCCACCUGGCCCGCGAUCUUCUGCUCCACCUCCUCGCUCAGCCGCUCCAGCCGCCGGUCCACCUCCAGCUUCUCCAGCGCGCGGAUCUUGAGGCGCGCCAGGCCCUCUUCGUAGGCCACAUCAGCAGAUGAAGACGCUAAAGUUCAGAGUUCAACACAUGGCAUAGUCAAGACUUGAACUCAAGUCAUCAAACUCCAAAGUCUAUGCUCAACCACAGUGCCCUCCUGCCUUCUCUGCUAUAAUACAGUCCACUGGACCUUCACGUGUCAAAAUGCAGAUUCCCCAAAUCCAUCUGCUCUUGCAGAUGGCCAAAAAUGUCCGUAUGUUGUCUUGGUUUCACCUUUGUUGUGAUGUUUCUCCUCACUCUGUGCAUCCUGUGAAUGUGUCAGAACAAUUUGGGACAUGCAUGGCUAUGUAUGUGGGUGCUUUUGUGCAUGUGUGCAUGAGUAUGUGUGGAUGUGUGUGUGUAUGCAGGUGUACACUUGUGCAUAUGCAAGUGUACAUAGGUGCAUGUGUGUAUCUGUGAGCACAUGCAUGUGUGCAUGUGUAUAUGUGUGGGUAAGAGUUCAUGCAUGUGUAUUUGCACCUGUGUGCAUGUGUGUGCACAUAUGUCUGUGAAUGUAUGCAUGUGUAUUUGUGCGCCUGUGUGCCCAUGCUACAUUUCACAGACAACCGUUCCUGCUUGGUUGUUAUGGGAACCACAGUUCUAAAAAUGUUAAACUGAAUCCCACUCCAUGUGAACCAGAGAAACCAAAAGAGAAAGAGAGCUCAGUGACGGAGACACCUCUGGGGUCCCAGAGCUGAGGCAAAGAAUUGUGGGCUCAGCAAGAGCUGGAAAGACCCAGACUAGCCAGAGGUGUAGACCCACUCAUGAGGCCUAUGGUGCCUAUCAGGGCCCCUUGCUGCAGACUCGGUCCUCAGUCCUGCUUUUUCCCAUCUUUCCCUCCUGAUCCUUUCUCCUCCCUCUCUCUUUGCCAGCUUCAUGCUCUCCAACCACCUUCAUUCCCUCCUCCUUCCCCUUUCUGUUUCCCUUCUUCUCCUUUUGGGUUUUUUGUUGUUGUUGUUCAACUAAUUGACACAAUAAUUAAGCACUUUCACAUUAGACUUGGUGAUAUGGGGACCACACAUGUGGAUCAAAUGAGGUUUCUGCCCUUGAAGGUGCUCAAGGGUGGGAGCAUUUGGAUAACUGGUGGGGGAAGGGAGGUGGCAGAGCAAAGCACAAAGGGAGAGAUGACAGAGGAGGUUGGAAGGUGAAUUUGGAUCAGAUAUAGAGGGCUUUGACAGCAAGGGUGAAAAAUAGGUAUUGUUUUUAUAGGAGGGUGGAAACCUUGGUCAGUUUGCAAUGAAGCUCUUGUUUGUUGUGAAUGGUGUAUUAGGAAAUUUUCAUCAUUAAUGCUGGGCAAUGUGGAAUGAAAGAGGCAUAAUGGAGGCAGAGGGACCACAGGACGCAGUUUGGCAUAGUGUAGCCUUGUCUCAAAUAGGGUACAGGAGUUGGGGUGAAGAGGGAGAAAAUAGCAAACAUUCUGGGUUGCUUUCUCAAACUUCCCCCCCAUAUCCCACCUCAUCAAGAUUUAUAUUACUUUUUCCCACCUUUCUGGUGUGAGAAUCAGGACUUGAGUGAGCCUCUGUUACUGAUGUGUGUGUCAAAUUUCUCAGGUGCCCCAGGAAGUAAAAUAGUUGGGAAUCACUGGCCCAGCAUGUAGUAGCACUCAGUAUCUGUGGAGUGAGUGGAUAUUUAGAUAUGCACUGGUGUUGGAACUGGAAGAACCAGGUUCAAGGCCCAUUUCAUUCUCUUAUUAUCUGUGUGCCCUUCAUAAAAUCCCCAAUAUCUUGGGCUUCAGUAUUCUCUUCUAUAGAGUGUGGGUUUGGACAGGAUGUUCUUUUUAAAAAAAAUACUUUAAAAAAUAGAGACAGAGUUUUGCCAUGUUGCCCAGGCUGGUCUUGAACUCCUGGACUCAAGCCACCUACCCGCCUUGGCCUUCCAAAGUACUGGGAUUACAGGCGUAAGCCACCAUUCCUGGCCUGGACAGGAUGUUCUUACAAACUCCUUCCAACUGCAACACUAUUAUGUGAUUCUAUGAAAUUGACAUAGCCAAGGUAUGUGUGUAUAUGGAGGGAGUGGCAUGGACUAAGGUGCUGGCAAUAGGCACAGAGAGGAUAAAUGUGGGAAAUAUUUUAAUAGAAGAAUUAAUAUCAUCUGGCUUCAGUUUUCAACAACAUUGUUGACUAGAUAGCCCAAAGACUCUCUUGCUACAAAAUAUGUGGAUUGCUUCAUAAAAUGUAACAGACAUCUCCUGAAAUGCUUGGCUGAGCUUGCAAGAAAGGGAAAAAAAUCUACAUGGACCAAAAUAGGGGGACUGAGACCAAGAAAUAUAAGCAUGAGAUGUGCUGUGACUAACCCCAGAAGGUAUGGGAAGGGAGGCAUAUUGCUUGUUUGUCCUGACCUGGAUCCUGGUUAGAGAAGUGGGAACUGUCUCUGAGAAUUUAUAACUACUUGAGUUGGACUUUGAACUCAAAACAUCUGCAUGUUACAAGAACCUCAAACCAAGAAAUUAACAAAAGAUUGGUCUCCAUCAGGUGAUACUCUUGGAGUGUCUGGUAGAAGCAAACAGGAAACUGCUCAGGAGAAACAUACCAUCACCCAAGGCCACAGAGUAUUGCUGCCCAAGUAAAUCCUCACUGAAGUUGAGCUCACAAGCUAAAGAUUAUAAUACAUAACCCGGAACAAUGUACCGUGAAUGAGAGUAGAGAAGACCCUGAAGAAUUACAAUAAGAUUCAACAAGUCUAAGUGACAGCCUGGAUGUGUGGGGUGGGAAGAAGCAAAAGUGAAUCCCACAGAGCUGUAGUUACUUACAUGAAUCCAGGGAAUCAAAUAAUGUUGCUAUUACCAGAAAUAUGGAAGGGUGAUUUGAUUUUAGACGGACUGUAUUUGGAAUGGUGGUGGGACAUCCAUAUGGGGGUAUUCAUUAGAACCAUGGGGCUGUCUGACUUAGAAGCCAUCUACAUAGGAAUAAUAGCUGAAGGCCUGGCAAUGAAUGCACUCUGUAAGGAAAGUGUUGAAAUAGGAAAGAAGAGAGCUAAGAACUGGUCCAGGAAAACACUCCAGGAAAACACUCAUGUUUUGAGGACCAGUUGAAAAAGAGGAGCAAAUAAGGAAAAUGAGCUCUUUGGUCUCCAAUUCUGGUUGGGUCCUGGGUUUGGAUUGAUUUUCACAUUGUUUGGUUUUAAUUCUUUCCAUCUCUAGUCUAAUAUUCUCAUCCCUCACAAUCCCUAGGGGAAGCUCCAAUGAAUGGGAGCAGUGUCCCUUGGGACAUAGCAGGAACUUCUCAGCUAAGAGUUAUAGAGCCAGACUGGGCUCUGGUACCAGGACUACUACUAAGUCACUUCUUUGGGGUUCAAUUUUCUCAUCAGUGAUGUUAGGCCUAGGUGGGUGUGAGGAUAAGAAUAAUAGAGCUGAUAGCACUUGCUGGAAUGCUGCUGGAGAGGGCAAGAUAGGGGUGAUCAGAGGCCAGCAACCCACUGUCUGCGUUUCCUCCUUUGUUCAGCUUGUGUGGUUUGGGACCAGUUGCUUGAAAUAUGGGCCAUUAUGCUUUUCUUGCCCUACUCUUCAUGAAAAGUGAAGUCAGGUGGCCCAUGCCUAAUAAGUGAAAGGUGUGGUGACUUAAAUAGUAAGACAAUGAGGGUCAUCAUUAUCUUGUGUCUCCAUGAAUCUACCACUUAUCACAGUGCCUGACAGUCCACAAUUUGAGCCUCUUCAUAGGGUUAAACAUUGCCCUCUGCCGGCUACUGUUCUAAAAUGUUAAUUCUCCUAGAAGAGGUAAUAUUAAAUGCUUUACCACAAAUUAGUUUCUUAGAUACAAGAUACUUGGCCACAUGAAAGCACUUAACACCUGGGGAGAGAAAAGGAUGGAAUUCUCUGAGUUGAUCAUUUUGUCUCUGGUCAGCUGGACUGUGGGGUGGAGGGUGAGCAUAUCUUAGAGUGAAGGGGUGAAGAAAGAAGCAAGAGUAUCAGAAGCUGGUUUGAUCUGGCAUCAUAGGGCUGUAAGCUCUCUUAAUUCAAGAACAGCUCAGCUCAGAAGAGAAAAGAAUGAAGUCCUCAGACACAGGCCUUCUUUCUUCCUUAUCAGAGAGGGGUCAUUGGAGCAGAGAGAUGGAGACCACAGCGGCCUUUUUAUGCUCCAAGGUCUGCCCAAGGUGGCCAGAAAGAGUGGAAAAGCUUUGGGUGGGGAGUUCAAAGAGUAAAAAGGAGCCACCUUCACCAUUACAAGGUCAUGCUUUCCUCAUCACCCUCCUAGCCUUCCUCUGAUCCCAAAGCCAUGAAGAGUUCACUUGGAAGGACAGCUGGAGAAAAGUGGCUGUGGCAGGCGCAUGGCUGAAUGGUAAGUAGGCUGAUGCCACCUGGAGAAGAUCCUUUUUGUGGGAAGAGCAACUAAGGUGACCAUCAGUCUCUGGCAAGUGCCUGCUCCUAGCUAUAUUCAGGUGUGCUCUAGCUAAAUGCUGAGACCCUUUGGGUCCUGACAUCAUGUGACUCUUGAACAGAUGCAUAGAUACUGUCUGGAGCCUCUGUGACACUGAACACUCUGGGUUUUCACAAACAGCACCAAAAUACUGCAGCCUUUUGCUGCUGUCGCUACUGCCUGGAGCUCCCUCUAGCUGCCAAACCUGUUUCUCACCUUCUAGUAGGAAGCCUUUCCAAUCAGUGCUAUUAAGUUUAGGUGCCUCCAUUCUGGGGUUGGAAAAUGAGGGUUGGCUUUGAAGUUGGACAGAUUUGUUUGACCUGUCUGUUCCUAGCCUGGGUUAACUACAUUGUUCCAGCAAGCUAUCUACAUUGCUUCCACAUCUUUGACAUGAGGUAUAUGCCUGCUUUAUUUGGGAAUGCGAGGAUUAAGGAGAAUAAUAUAUACAUAAUGUUGAACACCUACGCCUUUUAACCGCUUUGAAGUUCCAGAAACACCUCCAGCCCUUAGGUGAGCUGUGAUUAAAUUCGUUCAUUAACCCAACACACAUUUAUUGAAUGCCUACUCUGUGCCGCAGUUCCUGGCAGGUGUGCCUGACAGUGGGUGUGUAAUAUGUUCAGGGCCUGUACCCCAUGAGCAUGGGGAUCUCCUUUAUCUUCUGGCACAUAUGGUCCUGGGGGAGAAGCUGAGGGGAAGGGUCAGGAGCUUACAUGGCAGAUUCAGUAAGCUUUUAGCACAAUAAUUUUAAUUGCAAAAAUAAACAGUUUUGUCAACUGCUUGAGAGUAGCGUCUGCUUUACAAAAUUAACAACAACAAAAGGAAAAAAACCCCAAAGCAAAACGUUACAUCCAAUGGCUGCUGGAUAA